rnacentral:rRNA from 1 species
GAUGAACGCUAGCUACAGGCUUAACACAUGCAAGUCGCGGGGCAGCAUGGGGGUUGCUUGCAACCCCUGAUGGCGACCGGCGCACGGGUGAGUAACGCGUAUCCAACCUGCCCUUCACCACGGGAUAACCCGGCGAAAGUCGGACUAAUACCGUAUGUUGUCCAUUGACGGCAUCCGAUUUGGACGAAAGGCAUGGCGGUGAAAGGAUGGGGAUGCGGCCGAUUAGCUUGACGGCGGGGUAACGGCCCACCGUGGCUACGAUCGGUAGGGGUUCUGAGAGGAAGGUCCCCCACACUGGAACUGAGACACGGUCCAGACUCCUACGGGAGGCAGCAGUGAGGAAUAUUGGUCAAUGGGCGUAAGCCUGAACCAGCCAAGUAGCGUGCAGGAUGACGGCCCUAUGGGUUGUAAACUGCUUUUAUGCGGGGAUAAAGUGGCCCACGUGUGGGCUUUUGCAGGUACCGCAUGAAUAAGGACCGGCUAAUUCCGUG